rnacentral:ncRNA from 1 species
AUACUGAAAUGCAUGGUGGGAAAUCGAUGCGAAAUUCAUCGGCUGAGCCUGCAACCGUUAAAGUCGGAGCGCCACCCAGUAUAGUCCGUUGUUGAACGAGGGCCAGGGAAAGUCUAGUUCUACUAAUGUUUAU